GUGGCUUGUGCUCUCCCUCCCUCUCCUGGGAUUCAGACCACAAAUCCCCCCCAUAGCCUGUGAAAGUCAGGGAACAUCACAGCGACCUGUAACCAUGGUUGGUUGUCACUUACAUAAUAAUAGUAUGGAAUCUUCGAAAAAAAGGAGCUCUCUGAAUGGCAAUAGACCUUCAAGAGAAGGAACUCACAUUUCUGCAAAAGAAGACACUUGUGAAUUCACAGCAGUUUGGAGACACUGAGCCCAUUCCCAUGCCCAGGCAGAGGCAGGACUUAACACUGUCUUCUGGAACUUUCCCCAAACAUGUUUGGCUUUUAGAAACAAACAUGCAAUAGCUGAGUUAUGUUUUCUUCAGUACAGUUCUGGUCUGAUUUCAGCACGAUUGAGACAUGGCUUGGAAGAGUAGGCUCCCUUGGGCACCCUUCCCCUCACCCUAGACCUGAUGGACUUCCCACUGUCAGGGGUAAGGAGAAGCCUUGGGGUUUGCGCCCAGCUCACCAGCUGCUCCUCAGGCUGCAUCUGCCGCUCCAGGACCUCCGAUUCCCCGUGACACUGCUGCCUCCCCAAAGAUUCCAUCCUGCAGAAGGUGCAACUCCACGGGUUCCUGAGGGGUCAGGCAAAAGUGGGAUGUGACAGUCCUCAUGAAAAGAUCUUGAACAGGUGUCACAGCAGAACAGCUCUCCUCCAUCCCGGCACAUCUCACACACGUCAGAGUUUCCCUGCUAGAAGGAGAAACAAUGUUGGCAUUCCUGGUGAAACCCCAGCAGCCAUCACUACAGGAAUCUAGAACUCGCUACCUUUAUGGGAGCCUGCAUGAACAUAUAUGCUUCUCCCUGAGGUACGAAGGUGCGUCAUGGAGUAUAGACUUCAGAAGAAAUCAUGGUGGUGCCCAGGAGGAGGGGCCUGUGUGUCACACCAGAAAAAUUCUCCCUACAAAACUGGAGAUUCUAACACAGAAAGACGAGUAGCAAAACAAGAUGGUCUUAUAGGACUUGGAAUAAUAUUAUUACCUUGCUAAUAAAACAAGUUCCUGAAAUAAAGUAUUAAAUGCAUUUGCCUGUACUGCAAUGAAGAAAUAGAAUCAUGGAAGAUAUUGAGAAUUUAAUAAGAGGGAGUAAACUCCUUAGUGUGGAAAGUAAUAAAAGAUGAAAAGAUA